rnacentral:rRNA from 1 species
UACGUAGGGGGCAAGCGUUAUCCGGAAUUAUUGGGCGUAAAGAGCUCGUAGGCGGUUUGUCGCGUCUGCCGUGAAAGUCCGGGGCUCAACUCCGGAUCUGCGGUGGGUACGGGCAGACUAGAGUGAUGUAGGGGAGACUGGAAUUCCUGGUGUAGCGGUGAAAUGCGCAGAUAUCAGGAAGAACACCCGUGGCGAAGGCGGCUCUCUGGGACGGUACUGACGGCUGAGACGCGAAAGCCGUGGGGAGCGAACAGGG